rnacentral:rRNA from 1 species
CCUACGGGAGGCAGCAGUGAGGAAUAUUGGUCAAUGGACGAGAGUCUGAACCAGCCAAGUAGCGUGAAGGAUGACUGCCCUAUGGGUUGUAAACUUCUUUUAUAUGGGAAUAAACUGUUCCACGUGUGGGAUUUUGUAUGUACCAUAUGAAUAAGGAUCGGCUAACUCCGUGCCAGCAGCCGCGGUAAUACGGAGGAUCCGAGCGUUAUCCGGAUUUAUUUGGUUUAAAGGGGCGUAGGUGGAUUGUUAAGUCAGUUGUGAAAGUUUGCGGCUCAACCGUAAAAUUGCAGUUGAAACUGGCAGUCUUGAGUACAGUAGAGGUGGGCGGAAUUCGUGGUGUAGCGGUGAAAUGCUUAGAUAUCACGAAGAACUCCGAUUGCGAAGGCAGCUCACUGGACUGCAACUGACACUGAGGCUCGAAAGUGUGGGUAUCAAACAGGAUUAGAUACCCGGGUAGUC